CCUGGCCCGCUCUCCGUCGGUGAAGGACGCGGCUGGCGGAGACAGCUGAGCUGGAGGAGGGGGUCCCGCGUCCCCGGAUGGGCGAAGAUCCAGAGCACAGAGAACACGUUGUCCAUCGUGGGAGACAGGACCUGCCUUACUCCACAAGGGAGCAUCCUUCCCCAGAGGUCCUCACGCAUCACUGCCUCUCCUCUAGGUUUCAUGUCUCUCUGUGUACUUCAGAAAUUCUCAAAGAGAAUAAAGAUGCAACUUCCAUCAUCUUCUAACCUCUGUCACCCUGACUCAUGACCACAGACUUCACUUCUGGAACCACAAGGUGACUCUGUCCCACAAUAACCAAACUCUACCCUGUGAUGAAAUGGUCUGAAACCUAUGUCAUAAAAUCCUGGAAGUCUAGAAUUCAUGGAUUCCUAGAAUGGACUCCAGGCCUUGGAGAAUUCCAGAAUGGAACUCUGGAAGCUCAGAAUGUAAUCCGAGAUUUGUUGAUAGAACCUAGGAAUCUUGGAGAGGACGCCCAGAUUUUCAGAAGAGGCUCUCAGAGCCGGGUCUUUGAGAGAACCCGGUGAGACCAGGUGGCCCUGCGUUGUUGGCUUCUUUGCAAUGAUAAAAACAAAUCUGCUGAAUCAUAUCUUCAUAGAACGACAGGUUGGACGUGAAGAAUAUGGACACAAGAGACAGGGCUGCUAUCCGGUCACUGGCUUACACCACUGGAUGGUGGGGGUCAAGCUCACUAAGACAGAGAUCCUGGGGGAGAAAGAGG